CAGGUAAGACAGACAGUCGCCGCGUGGCAACACGGGGAGGAAAGUCCGGGCUACACAGAGCAAGAUGCCAGCUAACGGCUGGGCGCGGUAACGCGACGGAAAGUGAAACAGAAAGCCAAACCGCCGAUGACUGCCUGAAAAGGCAGAACAGGUAAGGGUGAAAAGGUGUGGUAAGAGCGCACCGUGCGCUUGGUAACAAGUUGCAGCAGGUCAAACCCCAUUUGUAGCAAGACCAAACAGAACACAUUGACGCUGCUCGCCGAGUGUUCGGGUAGGUUGCUUGAACCACUUGGUAACGGGUGGUCUAGAUGAAUGACUGUCCACGACAGAACCCGGCUUAUCGUUUUGCCUGUAAU
rnacentral:RNase_P_RNA from 1 species